rnacentral:rRNA from 1 species
GGGUUGUGAGGUUAAGCGACUAAGCGUACACGGUGGAUGCCCUGGCAGUCAGAGGCGAUGAAGGACGUGCUAAUCUGCGAUAAGCGUCGGUAAGGUGAUAUGAACCGUUAUAACCGGCGAUUUCCGAAUGGGGAAACCCAGUGUGAUUCGUCACACUAUCAUUAACUGAAUCCAUAGGUUAAUGAGGCGAACCGGGGGAACUGAAACAUCUAAGUACCCCGAGGAAAAGAAAUCAACCGAGAUUCCCCCAGUAGCGGCGAGCGAACGGGGAGCAGCCCAGAGCCUGAAUCAGUGUGUGUGUUAGUGGAAGCGUCUGGAAAGGCGCGCGAUACAGGGUGACAGCCCCGUACACAAAAAUGCACAUGCUGUGAGCUCGAUGAGUAGGGCGGGACACGUGGUAUCCUGUCUGAAUAUGGGGGGACCAUCCUCCAAGGCUAAAUACUCCUGACUGACCGAUAGUGAACCAGUACCGUGAGGGAAAGGCGAAAAGAACCCCGGCGAGGGGAGUGAAAAAGAACCUGAAACCGUGUACGUACAAGCAGUGGGAGCACGCUUAGGCGUGUGACUGCGUACCUUUUGUAUAAUGGGUCAGCGACUUAUAUUCUGUAGCAAGGUUAACCGAAUAGGGGAGCCGAAGGGAAACCGAGUCUUAACUGGGCGUUAAGUUGCAGGGUAUAGACCCGAAACCCGGUGAUCUAGCCAUGGGCAGGUUGAAGGUUGGGUAACACUAACUGGAGGACCGAACCGACUAAUGUUGAAAAAUUAGCGGAUGACUUGUGGCUGGGGGUGAAAGGCCAAUCAAACCGGGAGAUAGCUGGUUCUCCCCGAAAGCUAUUUAGGUAGCGCCUCGUGAAUUCAUCUCCGGGGGUAGAGCACUGUUUCGGCAAGGGGGUCAUCCCGACUUACCAACCCGAUGCAAACUGCGAAUACCGGAGAAUGUUAUCACGGGAGACACACGGCGGGUGCUAACGUCCGUCGUGAAGAGGGAAACAACCCAGACCGCCAGCUAAGGUCCCAAAGUCAUGGUUAAGUGGGAAACGAUGUGGGAAGGCCCAGACAGCCAGGAUGUUGGCUUAGAAGCAGCCAUCAUUUAAAGAAAGCGUAAUAGCUCACUGGUCGAGUCGGCCUGCGCGGAAGAUGUAACGGGGCUAAACCAUGCACCGAAGCUGCGGCAGCGACACUAUGUGUUGUUGGGUAGGGGAGCGUUCUGUAAGCCUGUGAAGGUGUACUGUGAGGUAUGCUGGAGGUAUCAGAAGUGCGAAUGCUGACAUAAGUAACGAUAAAGCGGGUGAAAAGCCCGCUCGCCGGAAGACCAAGGGUUCCUGUCCAACGUUAAUCGGGGCAGGGUGAGUCGACCCCUAAGGCGAGGCCGAAAGGCGUAGUCGAUGGGAAACAGGUUAAUAUUCCUGUACUUGGUGUUACUGCGAAGGGGGGACGGAGAAGGCUAUGUUGGCCGGGCGACGGUUGUCCCGGUUUAAGCGUGUAGGCUGGUUUUCCAGGCAAAUCCGGAAAAUCAAGGCUGAGGCGUGAUGACGAGGCACUACGGUGCUGAAGCAACAAAUGCCCUGCUUCCAGGAAAAGCCUCUAAGCAUCAGGUAACAUCAAAUCGUACCCCAAACCGACACAGGUGGUCAGGUAGAGAAUACCAAGGCGCUUGAGAGAACUCGGGUGAAGGAACUAGGCAAAAUGGUGCCGUAACUUCGGGAGAAGGCACGCUGAUAUGUAGGUGAAGUCCCUCGCGGAUGGAGCUGAAAUCAGUCGAAGAUACCAGCUGGCUGCAACUGUUUAUUAAAAACACAGCACUGUGCAAACACGAAAGUGGACGUAUACGGUGUGACGCCUGCCCGGUGCCGGAAGGUUAAUUGAUGGGGUCAGCGCAAGCGAAGCUCUUGAUCGAAGCCCCGGUAAACGGCGGCCGUAACUAUAACGGUCCUAAGGUAGCGAAAUUCCUUGUCGGGUAAGUUCCGACCUGCACGAAUGGCGUAAUGAUGGCCAGGCUGUCUCCACCCGAGACUCAGUGAAAUUGAACUCGCUGUGAAGAUGCAGUGUACCCGCGGCAAGACGGAAAGACCCCGUGAACCUUUACUAUAGCUUGACACUGAACAUUGAGCCUUGAUGUGUAGGAUAGGUGGGAGGCUUUGAAGUGUGGACGCCAGUCUGCAUGGAGCCGACCUUGAAAUACCACCCUUUAAUGUUUGAUGUUCUAACGUUGACCCGUGAUCCGGGUUGCGGACAGUGUCUGGUGGGUAGUUUGACUGGGGCGGUCUCCUCCUAAAGAGUAACGGAGGAGCACGAAGGUUGGCUAAUCCUGGUCGGACAUCAGGAGGUUAGUGCAAUGGCAUAAGCCAGCUUGACUGCGAGCGUGACGGCGCGAGCAGGUGCGAAAGCAGGUCAUAGUGAUCCGGUGGUUCUGAAUGGAAGGGCCAUCGCUCAACGGAUAAAAGGUACUCCGGGGAUAACAGGCUGAUACCGCCCAAGAGUUCAUAUCGACGGCGGUGUUUGGCACCUCGAUGUCGGCUCAUCACAUCCUGGGGCUGAAGUAGGUCCCAAGGGUAUGGCUGUUCGCCAUUUAAAGUGGUACGCGAGCUGGGUUUAGAACGUCGUGAGACAGUUCGGUCCCUAUCUGCCGUGGGCGCUGGAGAACUGAGGGGGGCUGCUCCUAGUACGAGAGGACCGGAGUGGACGCAUCACUGGUGUUCGGGUUGUCAUGCCAAUGGCACUGCCCGGUAGCUAAAUGCGGAAGAGAUAAGUGCUGAAAGCAUCUAAGCACGAAACUUGCCCCGAGAUGAGUUCUCCCUGACUCCUUGAGAGUCCUGAAGGAACGUUGAAGACGACGACGUUGAUAGGCCGGGUGUGUAAGCGCAGCGAUGCGUUGAGCUAACCGGUACUAAUGAACCGUGAGGCUUAACCUUACAACGCCGAAG